GAUGAAGAACGUAGCGAAAUGCGAUAAGUAAUGUGAAUUGCAGAAUUCAGUGAAUCAUCGAAUCUUUGAACGCACCUUGCACCCUUUGGCAUUCCGAAGGGUAUGCUCGUUUGAGUGUCAUUGUACUCUCACACUCCCAAUUGCUUUGGAUUGGGAGCGGUGGACUUGGGUGUUGCUGCUUGACUGAGGCUCACCUGAAAUAUGUUAGUGCACCUCUUGAUUGGACAUAGUACGGCGUGAUAAGUGUCUUCGCCGGCUCCUCGCAAAGAGGGUGGCCGAUCGGGAGCUCUGUUGCUUCAAACUGUCUUCGGACAAUCUUCUGGCGACUUGACCUCAAAUCGAGUAGGACUACCCGCUGAACUGAAGCAUAUCAAUAAGCGGAGGA
rnacentral:misc_RNA from 1 species